rnacentral:rRNA from 1 species
UAGGGAAUCUUCGGCAAUGGACGAAAGUCUGACCGAGCAACGCCGCGUGAGUGAAGAAGGUUUUCGGAUCGUAAAACUCUGUUGUUAGAGAAGAACAAGGACGUUAGUAACUGAACGUCCCCUGACGGUAUCUAACCAGAAAGCCACGGCUAACUACGUGCCAGCAGCCGCGGUAAUACGUAGGUGGCAAGCGUUGUCCGGAUUUAUUGGGCGUAAAGCGAGCGCAGGCGGUUUCUUAAGUCUGAUGUGAAAGCCCCCGGCUCAACCGGGGAGGGUCAUUGGAAACUGGGAGACUUGAGUGCAGAAGAGGAGAGUGGAAUUCCAUGUGUAGCGGUGAAAUGCGUAGAUAUAUGGGGGAACACCAGUGGCGAAGGCGGCUCUCUGGACAAAGACUGACGCUCAGGUGCGAAAGCGUGGGGAGCAAACAGG